UACGUAGGGUGCAAGCGUUGUUCGGAAUUACUGGGCGUAAAGGGCUCGUAGGCGGCCAACUAAGUCAGACGUGAAAUCCCUCGGCUUAACCGGGGAACUGCGUCUGAUACUGGAUGGCUAGAGGUUGGGAGAGGGAUGCGGAAUUCCAGGUGUAGCGGUGAAAUGCGUAGAUAUCUGGAGGAACACCGGUGGCGAAGGCGGCAUCCUGGACCAAUUCUGACGCUGAGGAGCGAAAGCCAGGGGAGCAAACGGG
rnacentral:rRNA from 1 species